GUGGGGAAUAUUGGACAAUGGGCGAAAGCCUGAUCCAGCCAUGCCGCGUGAGUGAUGAAGGCCUUAGGGUUGUAAAGCUCUUUCAGUAGGGACGAUAAUGACGGUACCCACAGAAGAAGCCCCGGCUAACUUCGUGCCAGCAGCCGCGGUAAUACGAAGGGGGCUAGCGUUGUUCGGAUUUACUGGGCGUAAAGCGCACGUAGGCGGAUCGUUAAGUCGGGGGUGAAAUCCUGGAGCUCAACUCCAGAACUGCCUUCGAUACUGGCGAUCUUGAGUCCGGAAGAGGUGAGUGGAACUCCUAGUGUAGAGGUGGAAUUCGUAGAUAUUAGGAAGAACACCAGUGGCGAAGGCGGCUCACUGGUCCGGUACUGACGCUGAGGUGCGAAAGCGUGGGGAGCAAACAGGAUUAGAUACCCUUGUAGUCC
rnacentral:rRNA from 1 species